AGCCGCGAGACGAGGUGCUGCAGUGGCUGUCGUCAGCUCGUGCGUGAGAUGUUGGGUUAAGUCCCGCAACGAGCGCAACCCCUAUCCUUAGUUGCCAUCAUUAAGUUGGGCACUCUAAGGAAACUGCCGGUGACAAACCGGAGGAAGGUGGGGAUGACGUCAAGUCCUCAUGGCCCUUAUGGGUAGGGCUUCACACGUCAUACAAUGGUCGGUACAGAGGGUUGCCAACCCGCGAGGGGGAGCUAAUCCCACAAAGCCGAUCGUAGUCCGGAUCGCAGUCUGCAACUCGACUGCGUGAAGUCGGAAUCGCUAGUAAUCGUGGAUUAGCAUGUCACGGUGAAUACGUUCCCGGGUCUU
rnacentral:rRNA from 1 species